AGAGUUUGAUCCUGGCUCAGGAACGGGUGAGUAACGCGUUGAGCAACCUGCCUACAAGAGGGGGACAAACAGUUGGAAACGACUGCUAAUACCGCAUAAGACCACGCUAUCGCAUGAUAGAGGGGUCAAAGAUUUAUCGCUUGUAGAUGGGCUCGCGUCCCAUUAGGUAGUUGGUGAGGUAACGGCCCACCAAGCCGACGAUGGGUAGCCGACCUGAGAGGGUGAUCGGCCACACUGGAACUGAGACACGGUCCAGACUCCUACGGGAGGCAGCAGUGGGGAAUAUUGGGCAAUGGGGGAAACCCUGACCCAGCAACGCCGCGUGAGGGAAGAAGGUCUUCGGGAUUGUAAACCUCUGUCCUUGGGGACGAAGAAAGUGACGGUACCCAAGGAGGAAGCUCCGGCUAACUACGUGCCAGCAGCCGCGGU
rnacentral:rRNA from 1 species